CACAAGGGGUGAAGCCUGCGGUUCAAUUGGAGUCAACGCCAGAAAUCUUACCCGGAGAGACAGCAGAAUGAAGGUCAAGCUGAAGACUUUACCAGACAAGCUGAGAGGUGGUGCAUGGCCGUCGCCAGCUCGUGCCGUGAGAUGUCCUGUUAAGUCAAGUAACGAGCGAGAUCCCUGCCUCUAGUUGCCACCAUUACUCUCAGGAGUAGUGGGGCGAAUUAGCGGGACCGCCGCAGUUAAUGCGGAGGAAGGAAGGGGCCACGGCAGGUCAGUAUGCCCCGAAACUCUGGGGCCACACGCGGGCUGCAAUGGUAACGACAAUUGGUUUCGAAUCCGAAAGGAUGAGGUAAUCCUCAAACGUUACCACAGUUAUGACUGAGGGCUGCAACUCGCCCUCACGAAUAUGGAAUCCCUAGUAACUGCGUGUCAUUAUCGCGCGGUGAAUACGUCCCUGCUCCUUGCACACACCGCCCGUCGUUUCAUUGAAGUGAGCUUUUAGCGAGGUGACGUCUAAUUGGCGUUAUCGAACUUGAGGUUCGUGACAAGGGAAAAGUCGUAACAAGGUGACCGUAGGGGAACCUGCGGUCGGAUCACCUCCUU
rnacentral:rRNA from 1 species